GAUGAACGCUAGCUACAGGCUUAAUACAUGCAAGUCGAGGGGCAGCAUGAACUUAGCUUGCUAAGUUUGAUGGCGACCGGCGCACGGGUGAGUAACACGUAUCCAACCUGCCGAUGACUCGGGGAUAGCCUUUCGAAAGAAAGAUUAAUACCCGAUGGCAUAGUUCUUCCGCAUGGUAGAACUAUUAAAGAAUUUCGGUCAUCGAUGGGGAUGCGUUCCAUUAGGUUGUUGGCGGGGUAACGGCCCACCAAGCCUUCGAUGGAUAGGGGUUCUGAGAGGAAGGUCCCCCACAUUGGAACUGAGACACGGUCCAAACUCCUACGGGAGGCAGCAGUGAGGAAUAUUGGUCAAUGGACGAGAGUCUGAACCAGCCAAGUAGCGUGAAGGAUGACUGCCCUAUGGGUUGUAAACUUCUUUUAUACGGGAAUAAAGUGAGGCACGUGUGCCUUUUUGUAUGUACCGUAUGAAUAAGGAUCGGCUAACUCCGUG
rnacentral:rRNA from 1 species